rnacentral:tRNA from 1 species
GGGGUUGUGGGUCAGGGGUAGAUGCUUACCUAGCAAAUGAGAAGCCCUGGGUUCGAUUCUCAGCACCACA